rnacentral:rRNA from 1 species
CCUACGGGUGGCAGCAGUGGGGAAUAUUGGACAAUGGGGGGAACCCUGAUCCAGCCAUGCCGCGUGUGUGAAGAAGGCCCUCGGGUUGUAAAGCACUUUCAGUGAGGAAGAACGCCUGGUGGUUAAUACCCAUCAGGAAAGACAUCACUCACAGAAGAAGCACCGGCUAACUCCGUGCCAGCAGCCGCGGUAAUACGGAGGGUGCGAGCGUUAAUCGGAAUUACUGGGCGUAAAGCGCGCGUAGGUGGCUUGAUAAGUCGGUUGUGAAAGCCCCGGGCUCAACCUGGGAACGGCAUCCGGAACUGUCAAGCUAGAGUGCAGGAGAGGAAGGUAGAAUUCCCGGUGUAGCGGUGAAAUGCGUAGAGAUCGGGAGGAAUACCAGUGGCGAAGGCGGCCUUCUGGACUGACACUGACACUGAGGUGCGAAAGCGUGGGUAGCAAACAGGAUUAGAUACCCCUGUAGUC